AAACGGUUCCGGGUGCACAAGGCCCGCCACGGUCGCGGCCCCGGGGGUGCACUAAAGGCUGGGGGUCUUCCCCGGCCAGAGCUGGCGAAUCCUGCACCCCAAGGGAGCAGGCCAUGCGGAUCUAGUCCCGCAGGCCGGGUGAACCCCAUCCCCGGGAACUGCGAAGGCCGAGAGGGUGCUGUUCAGGAGACCUGACCAGAAGAGCCCGAGCGUCCUUAGAUCGGAAGCCCACCCGGCGAUGGAGGCUCGAGGCUCCGCACCGGGGCUUCAGUACGAACCUGCGGUCCGUGCGCCUCCAGGACACAGACUCCUGCCCGGCUCCCAACAGUAACUGUGAGCUGUCCACGCGGGUGUGGCUUCCACUAGGGGCUGACAGCCUUGGUCCAGUCUAGGACUGGGAAGUGGGCCACGGCGGCGAAUCUGGGCUGGCUCAAGUCAGGCUUUGCAAGAUGCGGACGCCCCUGGAGCAUCCCCCGCCCAGGACUCCUGGAGGUGGAGAAUCCAGGAGCCAAGCUCCUGUGAGGCAGUGCCUAUUUAAAACAGUUGACCUCUCAGUCAGUUCUGGGAGCGCAGACCCUACUCCAUGGGGUGUCUUUUUCUGUAGAUACUUCAGGAGCACCCUGGAGAGAACAUAGAGCUGCUCAUUAAAAUAUUUUUUCCACUUAGUAGAGACUCUGGGGGUAGAGAAAGGGAUGCAGCGUGCUCAUCACAGCCCUUAGGGAUUUGCUGAAUGUCAUAAGGGAAAAUCACUUCCUUUCAAUAAAAGGGGAUUAAGUUUUAUGAUUUUCAAUUUUUACUUAUAAGACACCCCCACCCCGCCCCUUCAAGUGGUCCUUUCCUGGUUGGUGGAAAUGUCUUUCUUAAUUUACAGGUAGAAAUUUCGCAGCGUUUUUCUGCUAUGUGAUUCUUGUCGAUACUAGACUAGAAUCUAACACAAAGUGCUAUUGCAUUAAAUGUAUUUAGCCCUUUUUUAGUCCUAAAUGGCAACUAGCCCAAAGGACUAGAUGCUUUCGCACCAGUUCUUGUGACAAUCCUGUCACAGUGGGAAUAAUUGUCCUUCUAAGGGGUGUCCUACUAAUCGCAGGGCUGUCAGGAUAAAAUUUGUUGGUGAGGUAUUGUAGAUCAUCCUGUCACAGUGGGGAUAAUUGUCCUUCUAAGGGGUGUCCUACUAAUCGCAGGGCUGUCAGGAUAAAAUUUGUUGGUGAGGUAUUUAGAUCUGAUUGCUAAAAGCUGACUUAGUAGCCAGUUUGGAUCAGUUUAGAGCUGUAUGUCUGACAUGUCCUUCAGAUAAAGCAUAGGAACCCUCCUUCAAAAUUCUUUUCAGAGCCAAUGCUCGUUGGAUGCCUUUGAUCCCAGAGGCAGGCAGAUCUCUGAGACAAGGCCAGUCUGGUCUACAAAGUGAGUUCCAGGACAGGCUACAUGGAGAGACCCUGUGUCACAAAAAGGAGGAGAAAGAGAAAGAGGAGGAGAAGGAAAAUGAGGAAGGAGGAAGAGGAGGAGGAGGAGGAAGAAAGAAAACGAAGAAGGAGAAACAAAGAAAAAGAAUUCUUUUCAGAGAUUUGAUGGGGGGGGGGUACAGAGAUAAAGGACUGCAGCAAUGCCUCAGGCUGGUGGGUUAUUUUCAGUUAUUUUCUUCUCUUUGUCCAUGCUGUCUCAAACUAGUGGGCUCAAGAGAUUCCCCUCCCUCAGGCUCCCUAAUAACUGACUACAGGUAUGGGCCACCAAGUCAGGCCCACCUCAUCUGUUUAAUGAAGAAGACCACAUAACACUCAGUAUGGGCAGAGCUUUAGAGCUACAUGUGGCAAUCAAAUAUUUGAUUGCGAGGAAUCUAAAUCGAGUGUUGUAUGCUGUAUUUCGAGGUCAAUACAAGGUAAACAAAAUCUUUUUAUUUUAAAAUACUGAUUAAAGUUGGGGCUGCAGAGCUGACUCAGCAGUUGUGAGCCCUUGCUGCUCUCGCAGAAGAUUGAAGUUUGGUUUGCACCAUCCACGUGGCAGCUUACAACCUUCUGUAACUCUGGUUCCAGGGGAUUGGGUCCGCUCUUCUGUUUCCCAGUGGCACUGACACAUAUGGUACACAUGUGUACAUUUUUCGAAACACUCAUACACGCAAAAUUAAAAAUUGAAAUAGUGGUUAAAAUUUAAAUAUUUUGAAUGUAUUGGAUCAUGUCUCCAUGUGUGUCCUUUCUCUCAGCUUGUCUGCCUGGGACCCCCUGAGCACGAACCCUAGUCCUCCCACACAGCCCCAUUUUCACUAACAAGAUGAAACAAUCAUGAACCAGGAAAAACUUGCCAAUCUGCAGGCACAUGUUUGCAUUGUUGGGAAAGGCACCUCCCACAGAAAGAAGGUGGUUCAUAGGACAGCCACAGCCGAUGAUAAAAACUGCAGUUCUCCUUAAAGAAGUUAGCAACUGAUAAUGAAGAGGUGAACAUGUUUAAAAACCAAGAAACUGAUCCAUUUUAGCAACUCUAAAGUUCAGGCGUCUCUGGUAGCAAACACCUUCACCAUUCCAGGCCGCACUGAGAUAAAACAGCUGACAGAAAUGUUUCCCAGCAUCCUAAACCAGCUUGGUGCAGGCAGUCUGACUAGUCUGACUAGAGACUGGCUGAAGCCGCCCAAACAGUCUAGAUGGAGAAGCACCAUUUGCUACUUACUAACGAGAUGAUAGUUCCAGAUCCCUGGGGAAUUUUGAUGACGCCUCUAAGAACGUGGCAAGCUGAAUCAAGGUGACUUCUGAAGAAGUUGACACUUGCAGAAGUUACAGGCGCUGCUAUUUUAUACAUGGCUGCGUUUAGAAAUUCUUUUGUUUAUGGAUCUGAUAAAAAUCUAGAUCUCUAGCCAGGGGCGGUAACACACAGUUUUAAUCCUAGCAAUUGGGAAUGAGAGGCAGGUGGAUCUCUGUGAAUUUGAGCCAGCCCAGUCUACAGGAUAGCCAGGGAAACGCUGUCUCAAAACACAGACC